rnacentral:lncRNA from 1 species
CGUUACUAAUGAGAAAGGUGGAAGAGGACUUUGGCAAAGCCAAGAUAUGUGUGUGUGUGUGUGUGUGUGUGUGUGAGCUCACAUGGGUGUGACUGUGACUGUGUGGGUGACGUUGUCCUGUUUAAUUAAAGAAUGGAGGCGGGGUUUUGCAGGGAGCCCUGUUGGUAAACAAUGCCUGUUUGCAGGCUACUCAGGAACGACCUGGGAAGUGGAAGGAUCUGAAAAUGUUGUGCAUGAAGUGGCCCGUUGGCUGUCCAAUGAAGUGUCUGUUAUCAGAAGGAAAUGUGUACUUUUUGAGAGUGAACACAACAAUGUAACCACCCCAUAUCAAGAAAUAGAGCAUUAUCAGCACCCUAGAAGCCAAAGCCACCUGCCUUUUCCUCUUGCUGCCUAAAGGAGUGUGGAGAUGAAUAAGGCCCAGUUCCGACAUCUGGGAUUUUGACUCUCCAGGCAAGAGGACAGGAAAAAGAUGUUUGGCUUCUAUGAACUAAUUCACUGUCCAGAGCAUCUUGGCAUCUGGCUGCUGCUGAGGAAAGAGGAGGAUGUUUGUGUGUGUGUGUGUGCACAUGCGCCCGUGUGUGCGUAUCUGAGGGAAGCUAAAUAUUACAUUUCAGGGCUUAGUCCUUCCAUACUUUGAAUUUAAUAUGUAAUUAUGAAUAAACAUGGAAACGUAAAAACAAAACCACCCAUGCCUCACGAUCCUAUUGACAUUGGGAGAGCACAUUUACUAUGUGUCUUCAUUCUUGUGGUCAGGUACGGAGCAUUACAGCCAUUUUUACAUGUGUGCAUGCUUUCAGUUACAACAGAGGCUGAAAAUGGGCAACCCUAUGAAACUACUGUUUUGUAUAUUUUUUAUUUAAUUUAAUUUUUUUGAGACAGAGUCUCACUCUGUCACCCAGGCUGGAGUGCAGUGGCACGAUGUCAGCAAACUGCAACCUCUGCCUCCCGGGUUCAAGCAAUUCUCCUGUCUCAGCCUCCCGAGUAGCUGGGAUUACAGGCACCUGCCACCACGCCCGGCUAAUUUUUGUAUUUUUAGUAGAGACGGGGUUUCACCUUGUUGGUCAGGCUGGUCACAAACUCCUGACCUCAGGUGAUCCACCUGCCUCAGCCUCCCAAAGUGCUGGGAUUACAGGCGUGAGCCACUGUGCCCGGCCUGCUUCGUUUAUUUUUAAAGAUGGCU